AGCAGUAGCCGCGGUAAUACGUAGGUCCCGAGCGUUGUCCGGAUUUAUUGGGCGUAAAGCGAGCGCAGGCGGUUAGAUAAGUCUGAAGUUAAAGGCUGUGGCUUAACCAUAGUACGCUUUGGAAACUGUUUAACUUGAGUGCAAGAGGGGAGAGUGGAAUUCCAUGUGUAGCGGUGAAAUGCGUAGAUAUAUGGAGGAACACCGGUGGCGAAAGCGGCUCUCUGGCUUGUAACUGACGCUGAGGCUCGAAAGCGUGGGGAGCAAACAGGAUUAGAUACCCCUGUAGUCCCUGUCUCUUAUACA
rnacentral:rRNA from 1 species